rnacentral:rRNA from 1 species
AAACUUUCAACAACGGAUCUCUUGGUUCUGGCAACGAUGAAGAACACAGCCAAAUGUGAUAAGCAAUGCGAAUCGCACUCAGUGAAUCAUCGGAUUUUUGAACGCACAUUGCACCUGUCUUCGGACAGGUACGCCUGUCUGAGCGUCGUCACAACAUUCAAGCUUGGCUUGCAGUGGGCAAUGCGGACGCGAGUCGGCAGGCCUGAAACGCAAUGGCGCCGGUAGAUCACCUCGAGCAUGGUUAAAGUCUUGCAGCGAGGAGGGUAUGCAGGCGGCCUCAACAGGUGACCUAG